UAAUAAUAAUGAUACAUUUUAUUUUAAGGUGCCUUUCUAAACACCAAAGGACACUGUACAGAUAAUAAAAUCAUAAAACCAACAAAAACAUGCAUGUAGACAAACACAUACAGUUGUGCUUGAAAGUGUGUGAACCCUUUAGAAUUUUCUAUAUUUCUGCAUAAAUAUGACCUAAAACAUCAUCAGAUUUUCACUCAAGUCCUAAAAGUAGAGAAAGAGAAACCAGUUAAACAAAUGAGACAAAAAUAUUAUACUUGGUCAUUUAUUUAUUAAGGAAAAUGAUUGAAUAUUACAUAUUUGUGAGUGGCAAAAGUAUGUGAACCUUUGCUUUCAGUAUCUGGUGUGACCUCCCUUUGAAGCAAUAACUGCAACUAAACGUUUCCGGUAACUGUUGAUCAGUCCUGCACACCGGCUUGGAGGAAUUUUCGCCCAUUCCUCCGUACAGAACAGCUUCAACUCUGGGAUGUUGGUGGGUUUCCUCACAUUAACUGCUCACUUCAGGUCCUUCCACAACAUUUCGAUUGGAUUAAGGUCAGGACUUUGACUUGGCCAUUCCAAAACAUUCACUUUAUUCUUCUUUAACCAUUCUUUGGUAGAACGACUUGUGUGCUUA